rnacentral:rRNA from 1 species
UACGUAGGGGGCAAGCGUUGUCCGGAUUUAUUGGGCGUAAAGAGCGUGUAGGCGCCAGGGAGGUCCGUUGUGAAAACUCGAGGCUCAACCUCGAGACGCCGAUGGAAACCCCCUGGCUAGAGUCCGGAAGAGGAGAAUGGAAUUCCUGGUGUAGCGGUGAAAUGCGCAGAUAUCAGGAAGAACACCCGUGGCUAAGGCGGUUCUCUAGUACGGUACUGACGCUGAGACGCGAAAGCGUGGGGAGCGAACAGG